UACAGAGGGUGCGAGCGUUGUCCGGAAUUACUGGGCGUAAAGGGCGCGUAGGCGGCUUGGUAAGGCGGGGGUGAAAGUCAGCGGCUCAACCGCUGGACUGCCUUCGAGACUGCCUGGCUUGAGCAUGGUAGAGGCUGGCGGAAUUCCCGGUGUAGCGGUGGAAUGCGUAGAGAUCGGGAGGAACAUCAGUGGCGAAGGCGGCUCUCUGGACCACAACUGACGCUGAGGCGCGAAAGCUAGGGGAGCAAACAGG
rnacentral:rRNA from 1 species